GCCUUCGUGGUGUAGUGGUCAGCCUGCUCGACGCGUAUUCCAGCAGCCCAUGGUUCGAGUCCCGGCGAGGGCA
rnacentral:tRNA from 1 species